GUCCACGGCCAUGCCACCCUGAACAAGCCCAAUCCUGUCUGAUUUCGGAAGCUAAGCAGGGUUGGGCCUGGUUAGUACUUGGAUGGGAGACCAACUAGGAAGACCAGGUGUUGUAGGUG
rnacentral:rRNA from 1 species